rnacentral:tRNA from 1 species
GCGCCCGUAGCUCAGGGGAUAGAGCGUCCGCCUUCUAAGCGGAAUGUCGCAGGUUCGAAUCCUGCCGGGCGUA